AUGGAGGCCGCGGGUGCGGCCUCAACCAUCCACAUCCAGGGGGAAAAGGGAGGAGGAGAGUGGACGAGCGGCCGCCGCUUAGACCUUCCUCCGUCCGGAAUCGAGUCCGCUGAUCCGCGGCCGAUCUCAUUUAAGAGAGUGUGUUCGAGGCUUCCAAUUGUUGAAUCGAUGGAGGCUGGCGCUGCGUUCUUCCAUCGGUUCUUCUUUCUUUGUAGUUCACGAUUGAUCAAUUCUUCUAGCCAACUUCUCCAGACUUUUCCCGUCAUCGUCUGCGGCAAUUGCAGAUCGCCGGAGUGGCCUCCUCUGGCCAUAGAGAGGCCUUGCCGUUUGCCGCCGCUGUCGUCGGCAGUCAUGUGGCGGAUUGAAGCGCCGAAGGGCGCCGCUUCGACGCGCCCACAGAGGAGGGCGUCGUCAACCAUGGGGUGCCUCAGCCGCCUGCAUCGCGCGCUGGUGCUGUGCCGCUGGAGCGCUGUCGAGGCCGAGGGUCCUUGUGUCCUUGGGGCCGGAGGGAGUCGCCGCCACAGCCGUGUAUCAGGCCGAUGGUCAGGGACGAUGGAAUGGGUGCUGAAGAAUGAAAUCAAUCUUCAGCCAGCGGUGACAAAAUAUUCAAGCGUGCAUGUUGAAGAUGGACCAUGGAUCUUACAAUCGCGUCGUCAAAUGGAGAAGCGGUUGUUGAAAAAUGUCGCUAGCCUUAAACUCGGAGACGGUAACAACCAAGCCCUAUCGAAAGAUGAUUUUGAAUGGGACUCUGAUGAUGAAAACAUGAUUGGCACUGCAGACUUGCCUCCAACAUCCGACAACAACUCUCCUCAUUAUGACUGUCUUGGAUUUCAUCCUUACAAAGAAAUCGCCUUGUUUUGUUGGUCCAAUAAAAUUGUAGCAUGCCAUUUAAAUAGCUCCAAGAUUCGAUAUUUAGGCAAGGCGGCACACAUACCUGCCCAGUUGCUAGUGGCUUGCACAUACGCCCCAUGUUGGAUGAGGGACUUACCUGGAAGCACUUGA
rnacentral:rRNA from 1 species